CAGCCGCCGCGGUAAUACCGGCGGCCCGAGUUGCGGCCACUAUUAUUGGGCUUAAAGCGUCCGUAGCCGGGUUGGUUAGUCUCCCGGGAAAUCUGGCCGCUUAACGGUCAGAAUUCCGGGAGAUACUGCCAGCCUAGGGACCGGGAGAGGCCGAGGGGAUUCCCGGAGUAGGGGUGAAAUCCUAUAAUCCCGGGAGGACCACCUGUGGCGAAGGCGCUCGGCUGGAACGGGUCCGACGGUGAGGGACGAAGGCCAGGGGAGCAAACCGGAUUAGAUACCCGGGUAGUCCUGGCUGUAAACGAUGCGGACUUUGUGUCGGACAAGCUAUGAGCUUGUCCGGUGCCGGAGGGAAACCGUUAAGUCCGCCGCCUGGGGAGUACGGCCGCAAGGCUGAAACUUAAAGGAAUUGGCGGG
rnacentral:rRNA from 1 species